ACCUAUGUGAAGGUGAGUCUGUUCUGUACAGUAUAUGACUCUCAGUGAGAACCUUUGUGAAGGUGAGUCUGUUCUGUACAGUACAGUAUAUGACUCUCAGUGAGAACCUUUGUGAAGGUGAGUCUGUUCUGUACAGUACAGUAUAUGACUCUCAGUGAGAACCUUUGUGAAGGUGAGUCUGUUCUGUACAGUACAGUAUAUGACUCUCAGUGAGAACCUUUGUGAAGGUGAGUCUGUUCUGUACAGUACAGUAUAUGACUCUCAGUGAGAACCUUUGUGAAGGUGAGUCUGUUCUGUACAGUACAGUAUAUGACUCUCAGUGAGAACCUUUGUGAAGGUGAGUCUGUUCUGUACAGUACAGUAUAUGACUCUCAGUGAGAACCUUUGUGAAGGUGAGUCUGUUCUGUACAGUACAGUAUAUGACUCUCAGUGAGAACCUUUGUGAAGGUGAGUCUGUUCUGUACAGUACAGUAUAUGACUCUCAGUGAGAACCUUUGUGAAGGUGAGUCUGUUCUGUACAGUACAGUAUAUGACUCUGAGUGUGUUCUGACUUACAGGCUGCUCCCCCUGG